GAUGAAGAACGCAGCGAAAUGCGAUACUUGGUGUGAAUUGCAGAAUCCCGUGAACCAUCGAGUUUUUGAACGCAAGUUGCGCCCGAAGCCGUUAGGCCGAGGGCACGCCUGCCUGGGUGUCACACAUCGUUGCCCCAAUGCCAAUCGCCUCACUUUGUAGGUAUUUGCUUGGGGUGAAUGUUGGCCUCCCGUGAGCUUUGUCUCACGGUUGGUUGAAAAUCGAGUGCAUGGUGUCGGGUGUACCAUGAUGGAUGGUGGUUGAGUGAUGAUGCUCGGUGACCCACAUGCGUCCCUUGGAUGCUCCCUAAGGAGACCUCAGGUCAGGCGGGGCUACCCACUGAGUUUAAGCAUAUCAAUAAGCGGAGGA
rnacentral:misc_RNA from 1 species